GUGAACGCUGGCGGUAGGCCUAACACCUGCAAGUCGAACGGCAGCACAGUAAGAGCUUGCUCUUACGGGUGGCGAGUGGCGGACGGGUGAGGAAUACAUCGGAAUCUACUUUUUCGUGGGGGAUAACGUAGGGAAACUUACGCUAAUACCGCAUACGACCUACGGGUGAAAGCAGGGGAUCUUCGGACCUUGCGCGAUUGAAUGAGCCGAUGUCGGAUUAGCUAGUUGGCGGGGUAAAGGCCCACCAAGGCGACGAUCCGUAGCUGGUCUGAGAGGAUGAUCAGCCACACUGGAACUGAGACACGGUCCAGACUCCUACGGGAGGCAGCAGUGGGGAAUAUUGGACAAUGGGCGCAAGCCUGAUCCAGCCAUACCGCGUGGGUGAAGAAGGCCUUCGGGUUGUAAAGCCCCUUUGUUGGGAAAGAAAAGCAGCAGGUUAAUACCCCGCUGUUCUGACGGUACCCAAAGAAUAAGCACCGGCUAACUUCGUG
rnacentral:rRNA from 1 species